AUUGAACGCUGGCGGCAAGCCUAAAACAUGCAAGUCGAACGAGUGGCGGACGGGUGAGUAAUGUCUGGGAAACUGCCUGAUGGAGGGGGAAAACUACUGGAAACGGUAGCUAAUACCGCAUACAAUCGGAUGUGUCCAGAUGGGAUUAGCUAGUAGGUGGGGUAAAGGCUCACCUAGGCGACGAUCCCUUGCUGGUCUGAGAGGAUGACCAGCCACACUUGAACUGAGACCGGGUCCAGAAUCAGUCGGGAGGCACCAGUGGGGAAUAGUGCAAAUUUGGCGCAAUGCUGAUGGAGCCAUGCCGCGUGUAUGAAGAAGGCCUUCGUGUUGUAAAGUACUUUCAGCGGGUAGGCGUUACCCGCAUAAGAAGCACCGGCUAACUCCGUGCCAGCAGCCGCGGUAAUAC
rnacentral:rRNA from 1 species